UCAUGAUUAAAUAGAAUUUCGAAAUUAAAUUCAAAGGAUUGAAUGAUUUGGUCGUCAAUGCCUCAUAAAAGUAAAGAACCCUGUAAAAUAGAAGCGUGUGCCAUUCAAUUGUGUUUGAAAGAAAACAAUUAUCAACAAGAUUUGUGUGAACAUGUUAUUGAUGCCAUGAUUAAAUGCUGUGCUCAAGACAAUGCUAGACAUCUCCCAAGAUGUUCUGGAUUUGCUUUGUUGAUUGAAAAAGAAAAAGGAAAGGGAAAAUAAUCUCACUAAAUGAUAUGAAAAACAUCAAUGAAGUCCAAAAUAUCUGCAAAGUUUACCAUGGGUUAUUCGAAGAGAAACUAUAUAAGAAGCUACAUCGUUUUCUACAUCAAACACAGAAUAGAGAGAGACUUUUCGUGGCGUGGAGCAGAAAUUUGUUGGAUGACAUUCAAGUGUCCUUAUAGAGUGGGAAUUCUUAUGCUAUCCUUCCCUCCCCCCCACCACCACCACCACAUACACACUUUUAAACUGUCUCAGAGAUCACUGUAUCAAAUUUCAUGAAAUCAUUCUGCUACCGUUGAAUAGUUGGAAAAUCGCGAAACUGACUACUCACUUUACUGCUAGCAGAUAAAAACAAAACCUUCAAUAAACGUGGUAUACCUUGACGUGUGACACGUUAGGAAGAAAUGUUAGAUUGACUAGAUUUUUCUCUGCUGCAACGUUUUUUGACAUGUCGUAAGAUUUUUCCGUUUUUUUUAGACUUACCCUGCAUGUCUGGAUCGAUUUCAUUUACUGACAAUCCAAAACUUAUAUGUUAAUUGUUGUAUGUAUUUGAACGCGGCACUAGCAAAUACCAAUCGACGUAUCCGAUGAAAGCAAAGGUACUAUUGCGAAGAUUGAAGGGUGCACUUUGACAGUUAAUUGUACAUCUACAGUGUAAGGAGAUGACUUACACGUUGUAAGAAUUUAUUCUCACACAAACCAACAAUACUCGCUCAAAAUUGUUUUCUCAUGUUCCUAAUAAAAAAUACGAAAUACUUUGA